rnacentral:rRNA from 1 species
UGCGUAGGCGGCAAAUUAAGUCAGUGGUGAAAGCUUUCGGCUCAACCGGAAAAUUGCCAUUGAAACUGAUUUGCUUGAAUAUGGCCGAAGUGGGCGGAAUACAGCAUGUAGCGGUGAAAUGCUUAGAUAUGCUGUAGAACACCGAUUGCGAAGGCAGCUCACUAGACCAUCAUUGACGCUGAGGCACGAAAGCGUGGGGAGCGAACAGGAUUAGAUACCCUGGUAGUCC